GAUGAACGCUGGCGGUGUGCCUAAUACAUGCAAGUCGAGCGAAUGGAUUAAGAGCUUGCUCUUAUGAAGUUAGCGGCGGACGGGUGAGUAACACGUGGGUAACCUGCCCAUAAGACUGGGAUAACUCCGGGAAACCGGGGCUAAUACCGGAUAACAUUUUGAACCGCAUGGUUCGAAAUUGAAAGGCGGCUUCGGCUGUCACUUAUGGAUGGACCCGCGUCGCAUUAACUAGUUGGUGAGGUAACGGCUCACCAAGGCAACGAUGCGUAGCCGACCUGAGAGGGUGAUCGGCCACACUGGGACUGAGACACGGCCCAGACUCCUACGGGAGGCAGCAGUAGGGAAUCUUCCGCAAUGGACGAAAGUCUGACGGAGCAACGCCGCGUGAGUGAUGAAGGCUUUCGGGUCGUAAAACUCUGUUGUUAGGGAAGAACAAGUGCUAGUUGAAUAAGCUGGCACCUUGACGGUACCUAACCAGAAAGCCACGGCUAACUACGUGCCAGCAGCCGCAGUAA
rnacentral:rRNA from 1 species